CUGAAAGCUACCAGCUGUGACUCCUCUCCAAAACCUGCUUCCCAGCCAAUUCUCAGAGCCAAAAUGGUUGCUGGCUCCCAACCCUCUGGUUUCACCUGGCUUUGCCGAGGAGGAAGCCAGGCUUUAGAGGCCAAGCAAACCGUCCAGGGAUGCAGAGCUGGGAGGUGGCAGAGCCACCAUGGAAACCAGAGUCCAUCUGGUCCUGGAGCCUGUGCUACUUCUGCCGGCUCCCGAGUUUCCCGGGGCAGGGCCUUCAGGGCCCAGGGUGGCCUCUGGGGAGAGUCUGAUGAGGACAGCGAGUGCCUGCUGUGACACCUGGUGGCCGCCGCAC